rnacentral:rRNA from 1 species
GAUGAACGCUGGCGGCGUGCCUAAUACAUGCAAGUCGAGCGAACGGACGAGAAGCUUGCUUCUCUGAUGUUAGCGGCGGACGGGUGAGUAACACGUGGAUAACCUACCUAUAAGACUGGGAUAACUUCGGGAAACCGGAGCUAAUACCGGAUAAUAUUUUGAACCGCAUGGUUCAAAAGUGAAAGACGGUCUUUCUGUCACUUAUAGAUGGAUCCGCGCUGCAUUAGCUAGUUGGUAAGGUAACGGCUUACCAAGGCAACGAUGCCUAGCCGACCUGAGAGGGUGAUCGGCCACACUGGAACUGAGACACGGUCCAGACUCCUACGGGAGGGAGCAGUAGGGAAUCUUCCGCAAUGGGCGAAAGCAUGACGGAGCAACGCCGCGUGAGUGAUGAAGGUCUUCGGAUCGUAAAACUCUGUUAUUAGGGAAGAACAUAUGUGUAAGUAACUGUGCACAUCUUGACGGUACCUAAUCAGAAAGCCACGGCUAACUACGUG